UUAUUACUUUCUCCGUUCAACAAAGGACGUCUCAACUUUAACUAAAUUUGGAUGCAUCUAUACACUAAGUCAUGUCUAGAUACAUCAAAAUUUUGACAAACUUAAGACAUCUUUUGUUGGAUGGAGGAAAUAAAUU
rfam:Brachypodium distachyon strain Bd21 chromosome 3, whole genome shotgun sequence.